UCUUAGAUUUGUCUAGAUUUAAAUGUAUCUAGUCACAUUUUAGUAUUUAGAUACAUUCAUAUGUAGACAAAUCUAACACAAGAAUUUUGGGACGGAGGGAGUACAAG
rnacentral:pre_miRNA from 1 species